CCUACGGGUGGCAGCAGUGAGGAAUCUUGGUCAAUGGACGAGAGUCUGAACCAGCCAAGUCGCGUGAAGGAUGACUGCCCUCUGGGUUGUAAGCUUCUUUUAUAUGGGAGUAAAAUGUUCCACGUGUGGGAUUUUGUAUGUACCAUAUGAAUAAGGAUCGUCUAGCUCCGUGACAGCAGCCGCGGUAAUACGGAGGAUCCGAGCGUUAUCCGGAUUUAUUGGGUUUAAAGGGAGCGUAGGUGGUUCGUUAAGUCAGUUGUGAAAGUUUUCGGCUCAACCGGAAAAUUGCAGUUGAAACUGGCGGUCUUGAGUACAGUAGAGGUGGGCGGAAUUCGUGGUGUAGCGGUGAAAUGCUUAGAUAUCACGAAGAACUCCGAUUGCGAAGGCAGCUCACUGGACUGCAACUGACGCUGAGGCUCGAAAGUGUGGGUAUCGAACAGGAUUAGAUACCCGUGUAGUC
rnacentral:rRNA from 1 species